rnacentral:rRNA from 1 species
UGAAUACGAGACGCUAAGGCGUCGAAGUAGUGUAUGUCAUACUUCCAAGAAAAGCUUGCACUGUCAUAGAUAAAAAACGCCUGUACCAUAACCGACACAGGUGGGUAGGUAGAGUAUACUAAGGGGCGCGAGAUAACUCUCUCUAAGGAACUCGGCAAAAUAACUCCGUAACUUCGGGAGAAGGAGUGCCUUAUUCGUAAGGUUGCAAUAACAAGAUCCAAGCAACUGUUUAUCAAAAACACAGGUCUCCGCUAAGUCGUAAGACGAUGUAUGGGGGCUGACGCCUGCCCAGUGCCAGAAGGUUAAAGAAGUUGGUUAGCAAUUGCGAAGCUGAUAACUGAAGCCCUGGUGAACGGCGGCCGUAACGAUAACGGUCCUAAGGUAGCGAAAUUCCUUGUCGGGUAAGUUCCGACCCGCACGAAAGGCGUAAUGAUUUGGAUACUGUCUCGGAGAGGGGCUCGGUGAAAUAGACUUGUCUGUGAAGAUGCGGACUACCUGCACCAGGACAGAGAGACCCUAUGAAGCUUUACUGUAACUUGAAAUUGAAAUUGGACUUUAUUCGCGCAGCAUAGGUGGGAGGCGUUGAUUAUAAUCUUGCGGGAUUAUUGGAGCCAUCAGUGAGAUACCACUCUUGUAAUGUUAGAUUUCUAACUUUGAAUCAUUAUCUGGUCAAAGAACAGUUUCAGGCGGGCAGUUUGACUGGGGCGGUCGCCUCCUAAACGGUAACGGAGGCGUACAAAGGUUUCCUCUGAACGGUUAGAAAUCGUAUCUAGAGUGUAAAGGCAUAAGGAAGCUUGACUGUGAGACCUACAAGUCGAGCAGGGACGAAAGUCGGUCUUAGUGAUCUGACGGUACUGAGUGGAAAGGCCGUCACUCAACGGAUAAAAGUUACUCUAGGAUAACAGGCUGAUCUCCCCCAAGAGUUCACAUCGACGGGGAGGUUUGGCACCUCGAUGUCGGCUCAUCGCAUCCUGGGGCGGUAGUACGUCCCAAGGGUUGGGCUGUUCGCCCAUGAAAGCGGUACGCGAGCUGGGUUCAGAACGUCGUGAGACAGUUCGGUCCAUAUCCGGUGUAGGCGUUAGAAUAUUGAGAGGAGCCUUCUUUAGUACGAGAGGACCGAGAAGGACAUACCUCUGGUGUACCAGUUAUCGUGCCAACGGUAAACGCUGGGUAGCUAUGUAUGGAGUGGAUAACCGCUGAAAGCAUCUAAGUGGGAAGCCCACCUCAAGAUAAGUAUUCUCAGC